rnacentral:rRNA from 1 species
CCUACGGGUGGCAGCAGUGAGGAAUAUUGGUCAAUGGACGAAAGUCUGAACCAGCCAAGCCGCGUGAAGGAUGACUGCCCUAUGGGUUGUAAACUUCUUUUAUAUGGGAAUAAAAUGUUCCACGUGUGGGAGUAUGUAGGUACCAGAUGAAUACGGAUCGGCUAACUCCGUGCCAGCAGCCGCGGUAAUACGGAGGAUCCGAGCGUUAUCCGGAUUUAUUGGGUGUAAAGGGAGUGUAGGUGGGUUGUUAAGUCAGGUGUGAAAGUUUGGGGCUCAACCGUAAAAUUGCAGUUGAAACUGGCAGUCUUGAGUACAGGAGAGGUGGGCGGAAUUCGUGGUGUAGCGGUGAAAUGCUUAGAUAUCGCGAAGAACACCGAUUGCGAAGGCAGCUCACUGGACUGCAACUGACGCUGAGGCACGAAAGUGUGGGUAUCAAACAGGAUUAGAUACCCGUGUAGUC